UACGUAGGGUGCGAGCGUUAAUCGGAAUUACGGGGCGUAAAGCGUGCGCAGGCGGCUUUGCAAGACAGAUGUGAAAUCCCCGGACUCAACCUGGGAACUGCAUUUGUGACUGCAAGGCUAGAGUACGGCAGAGGGGGAUGGAAUUCCGCGUGUAGCAGUGAAAUGCGUAGAUAUGCGGAGGAACACCAAUGGCGAAGGCAAUCCCCUGGGCCUGUACUGACGCUCAUGCACGAAAGCGUGGGGAGCAAACAGG
rnacentral:rRNA from 1 species